UCCGUAGGCGGUGCGGCAAGUCGGUAGUGAAAUCCCUGGGCUUAACUCAGAGGCUGCUUCCGAAACUGCCGUGCUCGAGUGUGAGAGAGGCGAGUGGAAUUACGGGUGUAGCGGUGAAAUGCGUAGAUAUCCGUAGGAACAUCCGAGGCGAAAGCGGCUCGCUGGAUCACAACUGACGCUGAGGGACGAAAGCUAGGGGAGCAAACAGGAUUAGAUACCCUGGUAGUCCUAGCCCUAAACCAUCAGGACUUGGGGUUUGCCCUGUACGGGGCAAGUCCCGGAGCUAACGCGUUAAGUCCUGCGCCUGGGGAGUACGGUCGCAAGGCUGAA
rnacentral:rRNA from 1 species